GGCACUGUGGUGCAGUGGUUUGCACGCGGGCGAUAUAUUUGAGAUUUACUACCAUCUAAAGUAUAUUGAGAGGUCACAGUUCGAAUCUGUGCAGGGCCA